UACGUAGGUGGCAAGCGUUACUCGGAAUCACUAGGCGUAAAGCGCAGGUAGGCGGUUCGGUAAGUCUGUUGUGAAAGCUCCCGGCUCAACUGGGAGAGGUCAACGGAAACUGCCGGGCUUGAGUGUGGUAGAGGUAGCUGGAAUUCCCGGUGUAGCGGUGAAAUGCGCAGAUAUCAGGAGGAACACCGGUGGCGAAGGCGGGUCUCUGGGCAACAACUGACGCUGAGGAGCGAAAGCGUGGGGAGCGAACAGG
rnacentral:rRNA from 1 species